UAUUUUUAUACAUUUUGAGUACAACCAACACUGGUAUAAUUAAUCAUACUUUUUUUUUCGAACACUGAAGAGUCAGUUUUGUAUCUGUACUUCUGGCAAACAGGGUGACUAGUCAUGCAGGCCACCGUGACCAAUCCAACUAUUUCCAUUGCACCAGUUCAAGUACUGUUCUGUGACUUAUAGACUGAAAUGAGAUGGACUGCUAUAGUGUUGCAACCACAUGUUUAAUCUGACCUAGAGAGGAACAUCUUCCAAAGGCAGUGGUAGCUCACCCUGUAGGAAUAAGCAUGUUUGCUGUUGUUAUGGUAUGCUAUUAAAUGAUGGAAGCAGUCAUGGCCUGAUUUAAGACACUAUAUUGACAAUUGCUUUUAUGUUUACAAUUAUUAUAUAUCAUGGACUAACAAUUCUUUACAUAUUUUGUUUUUGUAAGAGUGAGGAGAACUACAAAACAUCUGUUAAAUUAAGAGUGGGAGUUAAGAAACAGGGCAUGGUGGAGACCAAACAUUCACCUCAACUAGUGCCAAGGUUAAAAAUGUGCAGAGCCCUACAUCCAUUCCCCAUGUUUUCUAAUAUAUGCUAUCAGUUCUACCAUGUAUAUGAGCUGCCAGCCAACACUACUUUUCUUAAUUAUGAAUCUUAUUACACAGUUUCUGAACAUCACAUCUUUCAUGUAACUGUGUAGUGCAAAAUGUAUGUUAUACUUACUAAAAGUACUGAUAAAUGGGUUAAUUACCUGAUAUAAACCACUAGUCAUGAUGUAUCUUUACCAUGAAUGAAACUUUUCACAAACAGUACACAGAAGUAUUAUUACUAAAUCCAACUUACUGCGUGUCUUAGAUACAUGUCUAAUAGUGUACUCUAGUGGUAGGAACACUGUAACAGCUUGUACAGAUUAUAUUAAUCAUGAAAUACAGACAACCUUGAACCAAG